GCCUUCCGCAGUUGGCGAAACUCAAUAUAAGCAAAUUGGAACUCCGACUCGAUUAUCUCCCCGAUCAGAUUUCCCCAAGGCCCUAGCAAUAACUUGAUAUUCUCAGGCAAGACUAGUCUUUUAUGUGCGGGAAACAGGAGGCAGAAAGAUCACAACAGAAGUCGGAGGCAGCGGCGGAGACGGGCCGGGAGCUGCACGGCUCAUUGCUCGGCGUGGGCACCUCCCGGAGCCGCGCUCACAGCCCCCACCUUCGCAGCAGCGUUGGCUCAGAGCCAGGAUGACCCUUCAGGGGCCGUGCUGAUGCUCCCACACCCGUGGCGACGUUCCACGCACUGCGAGGCAGCAGAGACGGCGCCGGAGAAACGAGGAGCUGCAAUUGCAUGUGACACGUUCCUGAGUGCUCCUCCGCAGAUGCAAAAAAGGAAUUUUGCUCCGGCCCCGGGGGAGCUCGGCCCCGCCAGGUCAUUGGGCUGAAUCAAAUUGCCAAUGUGCGGCACUGAAAUCUCAUCUGCGUCGUCCUGCGAGCGCGGCCGGGGCCGGGGCUGCUGACAGGUGUUGUGAUGAGCUGCUCCGCGCGCGAGAUCCAGCAGGAAACUGGAAAUGAGAUCUCAUCUUGCAUCGGCACCCGCGGCACAGCCUCGUCCCAAGCAGAAGUCAUACAAAUGAGGAUUUGUCACAGCGCUCUGAGCCCCGCGUGGUGCCUUGCGUGCUUCUCACCUGCACCAAGCACCCCUGCCCCGAUGUUGUGUCUUCUGCCUUCUUGCCGGAGUGCUGCUGAGCCUCCUGGUGCCACCGCUUUGGGGGACAGGGACAGGGGAGGAGAAGCAGCUCCUCCCCAGAGUUACCUUCCCUUGCAGAUCCCCAUCCUUCACAGGUCUUUGAGGGGAGAAGCCCCACACCGCAAACAGAGAGCGCUUGGGCUCCACGCUGAGCGAAGGGACGCGGUGCUGUGCGUGCGGUUGCAGCAGCUCUGUGUCAGUGACUUGCAGGCAAUGUUGCUUGUGCAAACAGAA